UUAGGUUAAGUUAUGAAGGGCGCAUGGUGGAUGCCUUGGCACUAGGAGCUGAUGAAGGACGGGACUAACACCGAUAUGCUUCGGGGAGCUGUACGUAAGCUUUGAUCCGGAGAUCUCCGAAUGAGGAAACUCGAUAACCUUAAUCGGUUAUCACCAAUUAGUGAAUUAAUUAGCUAAUUUGGCGGCAGACGUGGGGAACUGAAACAUCUAAGUACCCACAGGAAGAGAAAGAAAUUUCGAUUCCCUAAGUAGCGGCGAGCGAACGGGGAACAGCUCAAACCAAAGAGCUUGCUCUUUGGGGUUGUAGGACUGAACAUUUGAGUUACCAAGUUAAACGAUAAUCGAAUUAUCUGGGAAGAUAAGCGAUACAGGGUGAUAGCCCCGUAGAUGAAAUCWUUUAACCUCAGUUCAGGAUCCUGAGUACAGCGAYACACGUGGAACGUCGUUGGAAUCCGGGAGGACCAUCUCCCAAAGCUAAAUACUCCCUAGUGACCGAUAGUGAACCAGUACCGUGAGGGAAAGGUGAAAAGCACCCCGGAAGGGGAGUGAAAUAGUUCCUGAAACCAUGUGCUUACAAACAGUUAGAGCCCGUUAAUGGGUGAUAGCGUGCCUCUUGUAGAAUGAACCGGCGAGUUA
rnacentral:rRNA from 1 species